rnacentral:lncRNA from 1 species
CGCGGGCUCUGGCGUCUGGUCUCGCUCCUCUCCUGGUCUUGUUCCUCUCCUGUUCUCCGCGGCAGCUCUAGGAGAGAGAAAACGGCUGGUCUCCGCGGCCCAGCUCUGAGCUCCUCUUCUGCGGACGCACACCUUUGAGAAGCGUCAGCGCAGACCCAGGUCCACCUCCUGAGAAUAGCUCUUAUUUCUGGGGCGCGGCGGCUGGGCGUUCGCACUGCUUGUCAAAAAGGUUGGAAUCUGGAGACGGAAAAUAGGAGAAAAGACGCCCUCGUUUGUGCUCCUCGCCGGUUUCUUCAGAGCCGCAGGUGCCCAGGGUUUCUCCAAGUUUGUGCAGACUUCAACAGUGGGAGUGAAGGAACAGGCCUCUCCCAAUGUUAUGAAAGAGAGACCUUGCUGAUUGGAUGUUCCCGAAAAAGCAGACGCACUUAGAAGAGAUUUCUACUCUGGCUGUCCUCCAGUCCUGCAAGUGCCUGUCAUCGGGUGAACCCAGCUGGAAAUCAGCUGAUUUGGAAGCUGGGAAUUGUAUCUGGUAUUUCUGAAACCACAUCUCAGAUGGGACUUGAAUCCCCAAUCUUUCAACUAAAAACUGCACAACUCAUCCCAGGACUUAAUGAAGCUCAAGUUCUUUAUGUCUCAAUGCAGAAGGAAUUCGGGGAAAGGCAAAGUGAUAGGCCCUCCAAACAUGAUUGGAUUUACUCAAGAUCUACAGUUCCAACUGAUAAAUCCUUAAAGACAACUUGCACGAAUUUGAACUCAUCUUUGUUGCUAAUCUUUCUUCUUCAGGUAUUUUCUUGUCUUAGUGAAUAACACUGCCAGGUACUCUUUUCCAAUCAGAAACCUCAAAACUAUCCUGUUCUUCUAUCCCUCAUGUUGUCCUUGUCCUCUAAUCUCCAGCCACUAUAUCCUGUUGGUUUUACCUCUAUUCAUUCUCUGUCAUCUCUCUUUCAUCUCUUCUGCCCAUGCCCCAAAUCAGACUAUCACUGACUGCCUUCCUAGUUUCCUUGUUUUAAAUUUCACUGUGCUGCUCACUAGUUCAUCCUGCACAUUUUUACUAGCAAGUGAGAUGCUGAUCAUGUUACCCUCCCUAAAAAAAUUCUUCAGAGAUUCCUUGUUACUUAACAGGGUAAUACUUAAGCUCCUUCCUUAGCUAUAAAGGCCCUUCAAUAUCUGUCCCUUCCACCUUAUUCAGUUUCCUGCUCUGGUAACUCCUCCCCCUGCACUCAAGCCUCAUGCUUUACCCUCCAUCAGUGCUUGGAGUCAUCUCACAUCUUAUUCCCUCUGCUUGGAAUGUUCUCUCUCCUAUUUCCUUAAGUCUGUGUGGCAAGCUCUCCUUCAACCAUCAGGACAAGGAUUUACCACUUUUGUGAAGCCUUUUCUGAAUUUCCCAGGUAAGGUGCCCCUCUUCCUCUGUGCCCACAUUGAAAGUUGCACACCGUUCCACUAUAGCUUAAAAUGCAUUAAAUUUAUUUGUAUUUAUUUGUUUCCUCAUUUGAUUCUAAGGUGAUGGAUCCUGUAUUUUAUGUGCAUAUAACUCCAUAUAUGUGUAUUUUUCAGACACAUAAUCCCCCAUAGCCUAGCACAGAUUCUCAGUAAAUAUUUGUUGACUAGGAAUUGAAGAAACAUAAAAGGGAAGGGAGGAAAGAAAAGAACGUAGGGGAAAACUAAAGGUACACUAUUCAAAGUUCUAAGAUACUACUUCAGAUUCCUUGUAGUUGUCUAUCUCCUUUUCUUCUAAAUAAGCUUAGCUCUCCCAAUGUGAAAUAUUUGAAUCAUGGCUAAGACUUCUGUUCAUACCCAUUUGGAUAUAAAUGCUGAACCCAUUCUCUGCAGCCAGGUAAGUUCCUUCAAAAUCCAGCUGUUUUCAUUGGAAGAUCUUUUGUCAGGUACCAGCUCCUUUAUAAUCUUACUUCCUUUUCUUUGACACUCCUGAUACAUAACAAUCUUAGAAGCAAUGAAAACAAAAUUUUCUUUUGAAGGUGGCAGUGACCCUUAAUGAUAGAAGUGCAUUCAGUAAUACCACUGUAUUGCUUAGGAAUUAUAUGAUAUAUUUAAAUAAUCUGAAUAUUUCUACUGCAAAAAUGCAGCAUUAAAGACUUAGA